GUCUACGACCAUACCACCCUGAACAAGCCUGAUCCCGUCUGAUCUUGGAAGCUAAGCCGGGUCGGGCCUGGUUAGCAGUUGGAUGGGAGACCACCUACGAAGACCAGGUGCUGUAGUCU
rnacentral:rRNA from 1 species